CCAGACUCCUACGGGAGGCAGCAGUGGGGAAUAUUGCGCAAUGGGGGCAACCCUGAUCCAGCGACGCCGCGUGAGUGAAGAAGUAUUUCGGUACGUAAAGCUCUAUCAGCAGGGAAGAAAGAAGACGGUACCUGACUAAGAAGCCCCGGCUAACUACGUGCCAGCAGCCGCGGUAAUACGUAGGGGGCAAGCGUUAUCCGGAAUUACUGGGUGUAAAGGGAGCGUAGACGGUUAAACAAGUCUGAAGUGAAAUGCCGGGGCUCAACCCCGGAGCUGCUUUGGGAACUGUAGAACUGGAGUGUCGGAGGGGUAAGCGGAAUUCCCAGUGUAGCGGUGAAAUGCGUAGAUAUUGGGAGGAACACCGGCGGCGAAGGCGGCUUACUGGACGACAACUGACGUUGAGGCUCGAAGGCGUGGGUAGCAAACAGGAUUAGAUACCCUGGUAGUCCACGCAGUAAACGAUGAAUACUAGGUGUCGGGUGGCAAAGCCAUUCGGUGCCGGCGCAAACGCAAUAAGUAUUCCACCUGGGGAGUACGUUCGCAAGAAUGAAACUCAAAGGAAUUGACGGGGGCCCCGCACAAG
rnacentral:rRNA from 1 species